rnacentral:misc_RNA from 1 species
AACCUAGCACACCUGCGGUGUGUACCUGCGGAGGGAUCAUUACCGAGUUUACAAACUCCCAACCCUAUGUGAACCUUACCAAUCGUUGCUUCGGCGGGCUUAGCCCCCGCGCCCUCGCCGGCGCCGGGAGAAAGGCGCCCGCCGGGGACCCCAAACCCAAUGUUUUUCAUGCAGUAUUUCUGAGUGGCAAACGCAAAAAUAAAUCAAAACUUUCAGCAACGGAUCUCAGAUCGGAAGAGC